rnacentral:rRNA from 1 species
CCCUUAGAUGUCCUGGGCUGCACGCGCGCUACACUGAUGCGUCCAAUAAGCACCUAACCUAAUCCGAAGGGACCGGGUAACCUUAGCAAAGCGCAUCGUGAUGGGGAUAGAUUAUUGCAAUUAUUAGUCUUGAACGAGGAAUUCCUAGUAAGCGCAAGUCAUCAGCUCGCGUUGAUUACGUCCCUGCCCUUUGUACACACCGCCCGUCGCUACUACCGAUUGAACGGUUUAGUGAGGGCCUCGGAUUGGUCUCGGCCCGCUCUUUACCGGGCGGCGCCGUUGGUCGAGAAGACGCUCGAACUUGAUCGUUUAGAGGAAGUAAAAGUCGUAACA